rnacentral:rRNA from 1 species
GGGUUGUGAGGUUAAGCGACUAAGCGUACACGGUGGAUGCCUAGGCAGUCAGAGGCGAUGAAGGACGUGCUAAUCUGCGAAAAGCGUCGGUAAGCUGAUAUGAAGCGAUAGAGCCGGCGAUGUCCGAAUGGGGAAACCCAGUGCAAUGCGUUGCACUAUCAUUAACUGAAUUCAUAGGUUAAUGAGGCGAACCGGGGGAACUGAAACAUCUCAGUACCCCGAGGAAAAGAAAUCAACCGAGAUUCCCCCAGUAGCGGCGAGCGAACGGGGAGGAGCCCAGAACCCGCAUCAGCGAUAGCAUCAGAGGAACGGUCUGGAAAGGCCGGCGAGAGAGGGUGACAGCCCCGUACUCGAAGAUGGUAUGGCUGUGAGUUCGAUGAGUAAGGCGGGACACGAGAAAUCCUGUCUGAAGGUGGGGGGACCAUCCUCCAAGGCUAAAUACUCCUGACUGACCGAUAGUGAACCAGUACCGUGAGGGAAAGGCGAAAAGAACCCCGGCGAGGGGAGUGAAAGAGAACCUGAAACCGUGUACGUACAAGCAGUGGGAGCCGUGAUUAAUCAGGGUGACUGCGUACCUUUUGUAUAAUGGGUCAGCGACUUAUAUUCUGUAGCAAGGUUAACCGGAUAGGGGAGCCGCAGGGAAACCGAGUCUUAACUGGGCGAAAGAGUUGCAGGGUAUAGACCCGAAACCCGGUGAGCUAGCCAUGGGCAGGUUGAAGGUUGGGUAACACUAACUGGAGGACCGAACCGACUAAUGUUGAA